rnacentral:rRNA from 1 species
CGUGUAGGCGGAUUGAUAAGUUUGAAGUGAAAUCCUAUAGCUUAACUAUAGAACUGCUUUGAAAACUGUUAAUCUAGAAUGUGGGAGAGGUAGAUGGAAUUUCUGGUGUAGGGGUAAAAUCCGUAGAGAUCAGAAGGAAUACCGAUUGCGAAGGCGAUCUACUGGAACAUUAUUGACGCUGAGAUACGAAAGCGUGGGGAGCAAACA